ensembl:snRNA U6 U6 spliceosomal RNA
GUGCUCACUUCUGUAGCACGUAUACUAAAAUUAAAACGAUACAGAGAAGAUUAGCAUGGCCGCUGAGCAAGCAAGACAUGCAGAUUUGUGAAGUGUUCCAUAUUUUU